rnacentral:rRNA from 1 species
AUUGAACGCUGGCGGCAUGCUUUACACAUGCAAGUCGAACGGUAACAGGCCGCAAGGUGCUGACGAGUGGCGAACGGGUGAGUAAUGCAUCGGAACGUGCCCAGUCGUGGGGGAUAACGCAGCGAAAGCUGCGCUAAUACCGCAUACGAUCUAUGGAUGAAAGCGGGGGACCGUAAGGCCUCGCGCGAUUGGAGCGGGCGAUGUCAGAUUAGGUAGUUGGUGGGGUAAAGGCUCACCAAGCCAACGAUCUGUAGCUGGUCUGAGAGGACGACCAGCCACACUGGGACUGAGACACGGCCCAGACUCCUACGGGAGGCAGCAGAGGGGAAUUUUGGACAAUGGGCGCAAGCCUGAUCCAGCAAUGCCGCGUGCAGGAAGAAGGCCUUCGGGUUGUAAACUGCUUUUGUACGGAACGAAACGGUCCUGGUUAAUACCCGGGGCUAAUGACGGUACCGUAAGAAUAAGCACCGGCUAACUACGUGCCAGCAGCCGCCGUAAUAC